CCUACGGGCGACAGCAGUGGGGGAUAUUGCACAAUGGGGGGAACCCUGAUGCAGCGACGCCGCGUGGGUGAAGAAGCGCCUCGGCGCGUAAAGCCCUGUCAGCAGGGAAGAAAAUGACGGUACCUGAAGAAGAAGCCCCGGCUAACUACGUGCCAGCAGCCGCGGUAAUACGUAGGGGGCAAGCGUUAUCCGGAUUUACUGGGUGUAAAGGGGGCGCAGACGGCGAUGCAAGCCAGGAGUGAAAGCCCGGGGCCCAACCCCGGGACUGCGCUUGGAACUGCGUGGCUGGAGUGCAGGAGGGGCAGGCGGAAUUCCUGGUGUAGCGGUGAAAUGCGUAGAUAUCAGGAGGAACACCAGUGGCGAAGGCGGCUUACUGGGCUUUAACUGACGCUGAGGCUCGAAAGCGUGGGUAGCAAACAGGAUUAGAUACCCGUGUAGUC
rnacentral:rRNA from 1 species